rnacentral:ncRNA from 2 species
GUAACGUCUGUUUAUCAAGGUGCUGUCCCGUCAAAAGGGCAGAGAAUUGGGAAACCGGUGGAAAUCCGGUGCUGCCCCCGCAACGGUGUGGGUGAGAGAUCUGGCAAGACCACUGGAGCGCGACGCUUUGGGAAGGUGCUGGAUCAGGGUUAACGCGUUAACCACUCGCCCUAAGCCCGGAAACCAGCCUUGUGAGUAAGUCGAAA